CCUGUCGUCUCUUCUCCUUCUCGUAGAACGCUCGGCGCAGUACCUCGUGAAACAUUUCCAAUAUUCUCCACUCUGCACAGUCUGCACCAUCUUUCUCACCCAUGUCCCGUCACUCCACAGUUGUACACGCCAUUUUAAACCUACGAUCUGCUUCUAACUUGACUCAUUUAUGCCAGGAUAAUGGGGAAAUCUUCAUUCCCUCGUACCUGUGGUGAAUAUCAGUAACUUGUGGCCGAUUGGAUUUUUAUAUCGCAGACUAUGGGUUCGUGAGGUACAUGUUUAAAGUCUAACUCGCGACGGGAACUGGUGAACUUGUGUGAAUUGACAGUUUCGAAGUAUGGGACAGCUGACUGUGAAGAAACAUGGUUUAAUGCGAGAUCUUUAGGAAUCAGGGAUAUUUAACUAUGUAUACCUAGUACUGUGAAAUGUGGCUGCGAAGUUUCAACAAGAACGUUGGUGUAAUGUUAUCGAACGUUGAUCGAUCGUGCUUUACGAAUUGUUAAUCGUUCCGAGCAAUGUAAGUGUGCGAUCAUACUUCUUUACUUGUUUCAGGAAUUGUAAGUCGUUUUCGUUUAGAAACAUCAGGUGCCCUGUAAGAUAAAAGCGAUGAAUGUCUAGAAAUGAAGACUGUGAAAAACUGAAUUCAGAGAACUCAAAUAGAAUCAAAAAAUGUACGAUGAGUUUUGAGCAACUGAACUAUGAGUUUCUUAUGUUAAACGUAAAUUGAAUAAACGCGGUUGAUAUGCACCGGAAAAUUGUGUCGAUAAGAGAGUGAGCAAUAAAUUAUACCACCGUUGAAAAAUCA